UGGACUUUAAUUUUUAUAUCUAAAAAUUAAGAAGGCUUUAAUAAUAGGUGAAGCAUACAAACAUGCCUUCAAUGAAAAAUUUUACUCAUGGCAUAUUAACAAAAGAUAAAUCUGGUUCCUGUCCUAUGGGAGCUAAAAGCCCUUUGAAAAGUCACUGACAUUGUUCAGUAGUACCAAUACUUUCUGUUUUUAUUAAGAUGCUGUUGUAUAAGAUGGCACAGGGAUUUAAAUAACUUCUAAGGAGGAAUAUAUAAGUCAGUGUGCUGCUGCCAUGACAUUUUGAAAAGAAAUGCCUUUGAGAGGAUGUGAACAUUGAGCUUAGCCUUAAUAAUUACUGGCAUGAAUUCACCAGUUGUGGGAG